UACUGUUCAAGGAUGCGAAGAGAUGCUCUCCAUAAGGCACCUGGGUUAGAAAGCUUCCCCUCUUCCGGAUAUCCUUUGUCUUUGCCCCCACCCACACCCCUCCUACUGUCUACAUCUUCUAGGUCCUUCGGAGAUGGGGGUUUAAAGCGCGGGUGGGGGAGGUCUGGUGACGUGGCGCUCACGUGUUGCGUCCCUGCACUCGCGUGGAAUCUGCUCCCUCAGCUGCCCAGGGGGGCUGGCGAGCCUUGAGCACGCUUCUGCCAGCCCAGGGAGGCGCAGGUCUAUCCUGGGUCCUUCAAAGUCCGUGAGAAGGUCCGCACUUCUGCUGUGGCCAGCGCUCUCUGAGGCCUGAAAAGAAGGAGUAAGCUGCCCAGGAUCCCGCAGGACAAGACCAGAAGGGGAAAUCUCGACAUGGAAAAAAUCUGCAGUGAAAAUGAAGGAAAGCCAGAAGAGCAGGGAAAAGCAGAUGAGAAAGUAGAGCCUGCAGGUGAAAGAAAGACAGAAGAGAAAGGGAAGCCUGACCAUGUGGGGCAGCCAGCACCUGAGGGGAAGCCAGAGGGGGAAGGAGAGCCAGCUGUUGAGGGACAAAGGGAAGAAGAAGGCAAACCAGAAACACAAGGCAAGUUGGCGAAUGAGGACAACCCACCGGCCCAAGGCAGGCCAGAUCCCCAGGCACAGCCAGCCAGCAAGCUGUGGGCCACUGAAAAGCACCCCACAGAAGCUUAUGUGCCCCACAAAGCAAAAAGGCAAACGGAUAGAGGGACUGAGGAUUCCCUGAGGGAAUGUGAGGAGAAUUUACGGGACAUGCACUUGAGCAGCAUAGAGACGAUGAGAGAGUGCGCAGAUAUGUCAAGGAUUCAGGAAGAGCUCAAGAAAGACCAGAGGAUACAUAAUUUUCAGUGGAUGCAAAGACAGCUACUGGAUGCGUACCCCCCAAAGGGCCCAAGCCAUGUCAGGGGAGUGAGGGGCCGAGGUAGAGGCCAAAGAGGCUUGCCUGAUAUCCCACACCUUUAAUGCCUUUGGUCUUGGAUUCCUACUUUGCCGAUGGGCAUAGUGCUGGCCCUGCUUCCCCUGGUAGAUACUUUAACCUUAAGCUGAUACUUUGCUUUAGAUAUCACUCUCCUUACCAGCAGCCUUUUGACCCAACUACAGCACUUUACCUUUUAGUACAGUAGUGAAUUUUCAUCCAUAUGCAUGCACAUUGUAAAACAGAAAUAAAAAUAUUUGCAGAAGCACA